rnacentral:snoRNA from 1 species
GCGCAUCUCUAAAACCCCUUGGUUUCCUUGGUGUGGAUCUCAAGACAAGAAGAGCUGCUAGAGCAAAUCAGUGAAGUUUCCAAUGAGCAGAGAACGCAUUGGCUCUGCUCUAUUUCACCUUUCACACAGUU